UGCAUAUCCAAAAAGCGGAGGAAAAGAAACCAACAGGGAUUGCCUCAGUAACGGCGAGUGAAGCGGCAACAGCUCAAAUUUGAAAUCUGGCCUCUUGGGGUCCGAGUUGUAAUUUGUAGAGGAUGUUUCGGGUACCGCCUCGGUUUAAAUUUCUUGGAACAGAAUGUCAAAGAGGGUGAGAAUCCCGUCUUGGACCGGCGGUAGGGCCUAUGUGAAACUCCUUCGACGAGUCGAGUUGUUUGGGAAUGCAGCUCAAAAUGGGUGGUAAAUUUCAUCUAAAGCUAAAUAUUGGCCAGAGACCGAUAGCGCACAAGUAGAGUGAUCGAAAGAUGAAAAGCACUUUGAAAAGAGAGUUAAACAGUAUGUGAAAUUGUUGAAAGGGAAGCGCUUGCAACCAGACUUGAGCGCGGCGGUUCCCCCUUGCUUGUGCUUGGGUUACUCCGCCGUGUCCAGGCCAACAUCGGUUCUGGGGGUCGGUCAAAGGCUCUGGGAAUGUAUCUACCCACGGGUAGACUUAUAGACCAGGGUGUCAUGCGACCUCCCGGGACCGAGGAACGCGCUUCGGCCUCGGAUGUUGGCGUAAUGGUUGUCAGCGACCCGUCUUGAACCACACGGACCA
rnacentral:rRNA from 1 species